CUACAUUCACCACCCACGACAACCGCGAGCAUCAGGAGAGAAAGAGAGAGGGAGGCCAGAAAGAAUGGCUAAAAGAGAGUUCUUCUAUACUAGGACUCUUCCACUGCUUUCUUUUGGGGGACAACACACCCAUGAAGAGGAGUCUGACUGACAGCUGAAUUUAAGGAGAACAACCUGAAACAAAGUUGAUGGGUAAACUAAAUUAAGUCUCCUGAGAAAUAAAAGUGCACUUCCUGACUAUUGUUCCUCGGUCAGCAAGUCAAGAGGUCAGACCUAUCAAAUGCACCAACAGCAGGUCAUGUGGCGCAGGCGACCUCCCGUUUCUCCUCUCAAAGGUCUGGCUAAACCGAGCAGAAACUGAGCUUUAUUUGAGCUUCUGAAUCAAGACCACAACAAACUGCAAGACUCUGUGAGAGCCCUUCACUCAAGUGACUAUUAAACAAAACAGCGGCACUCUGUCAUGCUGAAUGCCAGGCUUGACUGAAACAAUACAUUACACGCGCCCGAGAAUUACCCAAUUGCAAAGAUAAAUGACACUGUUUUGAAACAACAGAGAGGAAGACAGACAGCGAUACAAGAAACAGAGAGCAGAAGAAAGAACGGGUGAGGAGAAACUCUCAGUGCAUCAAGAGCAGUUCGGCUGUUUUCACACUCGAGCGUCUGCUGCCGACCCGACAAUUUGGUUGGUUUGAUCAAUGGGGCAGAACGCUCAAAUAUACCUAAUCACCCCCUAAACCUAAAGGAUGCAUAUUAGUACCUAAAAUGAAUAGUUCAUGCAAAAGGGAGAGUUCUGUGUGACAUUUUUUCUCUGGAACACAAAACAAGAUAUUUUGAGGAACGUAUGGGUCAGUAUCGUCAUUGUUAACAUUAAGACUAUUAGAGUGCAACAGUCUCCAUAGGGAAAUUGAUUUUGAAUGAUAACUUAUAAACCUUUAAAGAACCUUACUGUGAGCUGUGAGGCUGUUAAUCAAUGGUACUUGAUUCUGUUAAAGAUGUCAGCCUGCAUUAUUUCAACGUAGUUUUAAAAUAAUAGUGCUUAACAGCAGAAAUCAUGGUUGAAAAACUACAUUACACUCUCAGAAAAAAAGGUACAAAAGCGGUCA